CAGUUUUUACCGCCGGGUAAGAAUUUAUGCGUCAGGCUUUCUAUCGAUAGGCCAUAGAAGAUAGAAAGGCUGGCGUUUUUUGUGC
rnacentral:ncRNA from 1 species